GCGGCCGUGGCCUAGCGGUUAUCGCGUUUGCCUCCCACGCGAAGGGCCAGGGUUCGAGUCCUGGCCGCA
rnacentral:tRNA from 1 species